rnacentral:tRNA from 1 species
GCUCAGUUGGUAAAGCAUGAGACUGUUAAUCUCAGGGUAAUGGGUUUGAACCCCACAUUGAGCA